rnacentral:rRNA from 1 species
UACGGGGGAUGCAAGCGUUAUCCGGAUUUAUUGGGUUUAAAGGGUGCGUAGGCUGUGAGGUAAGUCAGCGGUGAAAUGCCCCCGCUCAACGGGGUGAAGUGCCAUUGAUACUGCCUUGCUGGAAUGCGGAUGCCGUGGGAGGAAUGUGUGGUGUAGCGGUGAAAUGCAUAGAUAUCACACAGAACACCGAUUGCGAAGGCAUCUCACGAAUCCGCGAUUGACGUUGAGGCUCGAAAGCGUGGGGAGCGAACAGG